rnacentral:lncRNA from 1 species
CAGGAUACAAUAAUGCCUUGAUCCAUGUCUUGGUGCCGAUAGGUUGUGAAAAGUAGUAGAUAACAGCAACUAAGAUUAUAGCUGCAAUAAAUAAGCAAAGAGUGAGCUUGUUAGAUCAGUGGACUGAUACACUGUGAUGGCAAUAAAGUAAGAAGUAUCCAUAAGCUAUUAAUAAGCUCUAUGUUUCAUCCCGUUCAGGUUUCAUAGUCUUAGACAGCAAAACACAAAACAAGCAGAAAUAAGGGCAUUUCAAGUUAUAUUACCAGACAGUUAUAUCAAAAGAGAUAUCCCUGAGAUCAAAUAAGCAAAUUGAUGAACUGAAGAAGCAAACCUUGGAUGAGGAGAAACGCAUAUUCUCCAUAAGC